rnacentral:rRNA from 1 species
AUUGAACGCUGGCGGCAGGCCUAACACAUGCAAGUCGAGCGAGCGGCGGACGGGUGAGUAAUGUAUGGGGACUGCCCGAUGGAGGGGGAUAACUACUGGAAACGGUAGCUAAUACCGCAUACUAUCGGAUAACCCAUAUGGGAUUAGCUAGUAGGUGAGGUAAUGGCUCACCUAGGCGACGAUCCCUAGCUGGUAUGAGAGGAUGGUCAGCCACACUGGGACUGAGACACGGCCCAGACUCCUACGGAGGCAGCAGUGGGGAAUAUUGCACAAGGGGCGCAAGCCUGAUGCAGCCAUGCCGCGUGUAUGAAGAAGGCCUUAGGGUUGUAAAGUACUUGCAGUCGGGAGGCGUUACCGACAGAAGAAGCACCGGCUAACUCCGUGCCAGCCGCCGCGGUAAUAC